rnacentral:rRNA from 1 species
GAUAAACGCUGGCGGCGUGCAUGAGACAUGCAAGUCGAACGAAGGAUCGGGCUUGCUCGAUCCUUAGUGGCGGACGGCUGAGUAACGCGUAGGUGACCUACCCCGAAGUGGGGAAUAACUGCCCGAAAGGGUGGCUAAUACCGCAUGUGGUCGCACGUUCAUUCGUGCGAGUAAAGCCGCAAGGCGCUUCGGGAGGGGCCUGCGUCCGAUUAGCUCGUUGGUGGGGUAAUGGCUUACCAAGGCGACGAUCGGUAGGUGGUCUGAGAGGACGAUCACCCAGACUGGGACUGAGACACGGCCCAGACUCCUACGGGAGGCAGCAGUCGGGAAUUUUGCUCAAUGGGGGAAACCCUGAAGCAGCAACGCCGCGUGAGGGAUGAAGGCCUUCGGGUUGUAAACCUCUUUUGUCAGGGACGAUGUUGACGGUACCUGGCGAAUAAGCCACGGCUAACUACGUG